rnacentral:sRNA from 1 species
UAAAUCAAAGACCUUGCUCCUUGUAUUUCUCGUACAGAACAUUCAGUUCCUUGUAGUUCGCAUCCGUCAGACCACUGCAAGUUAAUCAGGAAGUUUAGUUUUGAUUUCAUCUAUUUGAUUGACUUUAAGCAAAAUCUUAAAUUUGAACAAACGAAGACCAAUAUUACUCGAAAUCUCUGUUUAUAUUUUAACAAACCUAUGUUGCGGUUAAGAAAAAAGGACAAGUACUAAUCAAACCAAACUGAACCGGAUUGAACAAGUACUAA